AACUUCUCCUUUGGACCGGGAUAACCCCUGGGAAACUGGGGCUAAUACCGGAUAGAGCAUCGAUCGCUGGAAUGCAUGAUGCUCGAAAACCGAGGUGCCAAAGGAUAGGUCUGCGGCCGAUUAGGUUGUUGUUGAUGUAACGGAUCAACAAGCCUCCGAUCGGUAUGGGUUGUGAGAGCAAUAGCCCAGAGAUGGGUUCUGAGAGAAGAACCCAGGUCCUACGGGACGCAUCAGGCGCGAAAACUUUACAAUGUGCGAAAGCACGAUAAGGGAACUCUGAGUGCCUCCUAAGGAGGCUGUUCAGGUGUCUAAAAAGCAUCUGAAGGAAGGGCUGGGUAAGACCGGUGCCAGCCGCCGCGGUAACACCGGCAGCCCAAGUGGUGGCCACUUUUACUGGGUCUAAAGCGUUCGUAGCCGGCCAGGUAAGUUCCUUGGGAAAUUUGACCGCUUAACGGUCAAGCUUUCAGGGAAUACUGCGUGGCUUGAGACCGGGAGAGGUCAGAGGUACCUCAAGGGUAGGGGUGAAAUCCGUUAAUCCUUGGGGGACCA
rnacentral:rRNA from 1 species